GGAGGACGAUGGCGACGAUGGAGACCUCGUCGACGUGGUCGGCGUUGAUGAGGUCCUUGAUGAGGGUGCGGGAGUGGAGGAUGCCGGCUUGGAGGUGGUUAAAGUAGAAGUGAUCGGGCUGGGAGAGGUACUUGAGCUGCCAGCGGCGCUGGGCCUGGAGGACGGAGUCGAGGCAGGACCUGAAGCUGCCGUUGUUGAUUCAGGCUACGGUGGGGUCGUGGUAGGAGAAUUCGGCGGCGAUUUCGGAGGGGGUGAUGAAGGAGAGUUUGGGCUUUUUGGAGGCGUGGGUGUUGGAAUCACCGUUCAGGGUGUGGUUGUGGUCGGGGGAGGAGGCCAUUGCUGGGGGAGGAAGAUUUUAGGGUUGGGG
rnacentral:lncRNA from 1 species